AAGGAAUAUUGGACAAUGGAGGCAACUCUGAUCCAGCCAUGCCGCGUGCAGGAUGACGGCCCUAUGGGUUGUAAACUGCUUUUAUACGGGAAAAAACCCCACUACGUGUAGAGGGCUGAUGGUACCGUAAGAAUAAGGAUCGGCUAACUCCGUGCCAGCAGCCGCGGUAAUACGGAGGAUCCGAGCGUUAUCCGGAUUUAUUGGGUUUAAAGGGUGCGUAGGCGGAUUUGUAAGUCAGUGGUGAAAUCCUGCAGCUUAACUGUAGAACUGCCAUUGAUACUGCAAGUCUUGAGUACAUAUGAUGUGGGCGGAAUGUGUAGUGUAGCGGUGAAAUGCUUAGAUAUUACACAGAACACCGAUUGCGAAGGCAGCUCACAAAACUGUAACUGACGCUGAGGCACGAAAGCGUGGGGAGUGAAC
rnacentral:rRNA from 1 species